rnacentral:rRNA from 1 species
UACGGAGGGGGCAAGCGUUGUCCGGAAUUAUUGGGCGUAAAGCGCGCGCAGGUGGGAUAUUAAGUCUGGUGUUAAAGUUCGGGGCUCAACCCCGUGAAUCAUUUGGAAACUGAUAUUCUUGAGUGCAGGAGAGGAAAGUGGAAUUCCUAGUGUAGCGGUGAAAUGCGUAGAUAUUAGGAGGAACACCAGUGGCGAAGGCGACUUUCUGGACUGUGUCUGACACUGAGGCGCGAAAGCUAGGGUAGUGAACAGG